AUAUAGUGGAGGUUAACAUUGAGACAGGUGGUGCAUGGUUGUCGUCAGUUCGUGCCGUGAGGUGUUGGGUUAAGUCCCGCAACGAACGCAACCCUUGUCGUUAGUUACUAACAUUAAGUUGAGGACUCUAACGAGACUGCUAGUGUAAGCUAGAGGAAGGUGGGGAUGACGUCAAAUCAUCAUGCCCCUUAUGUCCUGGGCUACACACGUGCUACAAUGGCUGGUACAAAGAGUCGCAAUCUCGCGAGGGGGAGCUAAUCUCAAAAAGCCAGUCUCAGUUCGGAUUGAAGUCUGCAACUCGACUUCAUGAAGCCGGAAUCACUAGUAAUCGCGAAUCAGCUAUGUCGCGGUGAAUACGUUCUCGGGUCUUGUACACACCGCCCGACACACCACGAGAGUUGGUAAUACCAGAAGUGGGUAGCUUAACCGCAAGGAGAG
rnacentral:rRNA from 1 species